GAAGGGGGGGUCGGGGUUCACUCCAACCCCUGUGACAUACCACUUGUUGCCUCGGCGGAUCAGCCCGCUCCCGGUAAAACGGGACGGCCCGCCAGAGGACCCCUAAACUCUGUUUCUAUAUGUAACUUCUGAGUAAAACCAUAAAUAAAUCAAAACUUUCAACAACGGAUCUCUUGGUUCUGGCAUCGAUGAAGAACGCAGCAAAAUGCGAUAAGUAAUGUGAAUUGCAGAAUUCAGUGAAUCAUCGAAUCUUUGAACGCACAUUGCGCCCGCCAGUAUUCUGGCGGGCAUGCCUGUUCGAGCGUCAUUUCAACCCUCAAGCACAGCUUGGUGUUGGGACUCGCGUUAAUUCGCGUUCCUCAAAUUGAUUGGCGGUCACGUCGAGCUUCCAUAGCGUAGUAGUAAAACCCUCGUUACUGGUAAUCGUCGCGGCCACGCCGUUAAACCCCAACUUCUGAAUGUUGACCUCGGAUCAGGUAGGAAUACCCGCUGAACUUAAGCAUAUCAAUAAGCGGAGGAA
rnacentral:rRNA from 1 species